rnacentral:lncRNA from 1 species
GAAGCGUUGUUGUGAGAUUCUAUUGCAGUCACGGGCGUCUCAGCCGUCUCACACCCCUCGGGUGCUUUUCCAGCCCCCAAAGAAUGAAGCAGAGCGCGCUCCCCGCACCGUAUUCCCUCUUAGAAUCAGCCGCGUGUGAGGGACGCCACAGUGGGUGGAGAACAUCAUGCAUCGCUGAUUCCUCUGGAGAAGCUGGGGUGAGAAUGUGUGUGUUUUGCAAAUGCGAACUUGCCCUUCACAGGAUGUCGCUGUGCUUACAGAGCCCACUAGGUGGUACGUGAGCUGCGGCGAUGGUGACCGGCUGCGCUGGACCAGUCACCGCCCGCCUCCCAGGACCCCCCUCAGGCCAGAGGCCCCCAGCUCACAAGCCGGCCCUGAAUCCUCCCUGUUCCUGGGCCCGUCUCCACGUUCUUCCUCUGGGAAAGCAGGGCCCAGGCUUCUGCUCCCUCUUCAAUACAGCACACGUGAACACUUUGGGAGUGUCGCCUUAAAAAUAAAAAACACAACGUGAGAGUUGAGAGUUAAGUUUUACUUGGGACAGAAUGAGGACUAGAACCUGGGUGGCAGCAUUCAGAGAGACCCGAGAAACUACUCCAAAAAACUGGGACCUCAGUGAGUCCGGACACCAGGCCAAGUGUGGAAAAGAAAGGAAGAAGGAAGAGAGGAGGCAUCCGUUGAUGAACCUCAGAUGCCAAGAUAAAGGAGACUUGCUUUUCGACGAGAUGACACUGGCCCUGCUGGUCGGGCUCCCGGGGAGAGGAGGUCUGAACUGCUCGGCUGCUGUCUACUGGCUGAUAAUGGGAUGAAAACAACACACAUCAAACAGUGAGCGGGGCUGUUAACAAGGUAGCCCUUCCUGGGAUCCUGGCGCCUUCAUCCAGUCAGGCCGGUGCCUUGAGCACCCACCCAAAAGUGGUGAGGGGAGUUCCUUGGGACCCUUCAAGUCCUAGCGUGUGGGUGAGAGCCCCCGGCUCCGGGAACGGCAAGCGGCAGGUGACAAAGAAGGCCUGGAGGGGUAGGAGCAGGGAGAAUUCUCUUCCACCUGUUGGGCGAAAUCUCUGGCAGGCGUUUUCCCCAGAGAGUCGGCUCUGUGGUGAAACCACUCUGGGUGUAUUUUGCAGUGUUGGCCCUUUUCCCUGUCAGAUUCAAGGGCAUCGUUCUCAGAUCUUCUGAGGACCUGGUGAUGCUCCUGGAGGUGGCCGGACCUUCUUCCAAAGUGUACAGCCCAGAGGAAUUUCUUAGAUGCACACCAGUGGUGCUCAGCUGCCAGCAUCCAUCGCAAUGAUCGCUGCCGUGUCCUGCCAGAGUCUGUGGCCCCGGAGGCGUCUGCUCCAGGGAAAGAUCGCAGCGGGGACUCUGUCCACAGAGAGCUGGAGGAGGGCUGGUUUCCCUGACACGUCGGUUCUCCACUGGACCCAGUAGAAACCACUGAUCUCCAGCAUGUCCAGCUGCGGCUGGUCGUAAAGGAGAAACGUGACGACAUCCACGCUCUCUACAGGUUGGAGCUGAGUCUGGGAGGCUUUCGGGCUAACUUUUCAUUGUGUUCGCUCGAGUUCAUGGAUGGAAGAGACAGCAGCUGCAGGAUCUGGGCUGCUGACUGCAUAAAAAAGCCCCUCUCGGAGGAAGGGCCCGCGGAAAGAAUGGAUGCCUGCAAAUUGCCAGGGUGGUGAGUCCUGGGUCUGCCUGAAGCCGUCGCAGAGACGCUCAAGCAGCAGCCAGGGGCUCCGGACCAAGGUGAUAAGGAAUGACCCUGAACUUGGCGAGUGAAGGCUAAAAUAGGAAUGGUGGGCUGGAAAAAGACAAGAAGAGGAUUGUGGGUAUCAGGGUGAAGGCAAAACCGUGCAGCCAAGCUGGCCGGCAGGACAGCCCCGAGCUGGGGACUUGGUAGAAUCUGCCUAAAUCUCUGUGCAGCAGCCCUGAGCCACUGGGGCGUGUCUCCUGCCGAAUUACACAGCCAUGCACUUCGAGCUUCAGCAUGCCGAAGUUCCGGGGCCGGCCUUUGCACUCUCACCACUGCCGCAACUCAAGCCACUGCCGUGACAACACUGGCGCCUCAACCUGCUGGACCCCGAGGAAACGCCCUGUACACCUUUCUUCUGUGACCCUCCGUCAGCCACCAACCGUCUCAUCUCAUCCGAGCCAGAAACACCGUGACAUGCAGGUGGUACGUCUCCACCCCACCUGGGUUUCUAGUCCACCGUCCAUCCCACAACCUACAUGAUGUUCUGUCUCCAGGUUUCGGGGACUAGCACGUUGGAUCUGCCUUCAACCUGCCGUCUUACCACCCUCUCUCCUUACUUUCUCAGCCCGUCAAUGUUCCACGCGCUCACCCAGGGCAGGGGGUAUUUCUGGGGCCUCCUGCAGGUGUCGGCCACCAGGAACCCUCAAAUAAAUGUUUGUGAAAUGAUUAGAUAAAAGAAUAACCCAUCAAUUUUAACUCCUGAAAACGAGCUCUGGGAAGGAUGUUUAUUGUGCUGGCCAGGGGAUGCAUGCAAAUUCCGGGAUUUUCCUAGGCGUAUGGAAUUAUCUCUGGACUCACAGGAAACUGUAAUAGAGACGACAUCAGCCGAGUGAGGGCGGCAGAGGAAAUACUACUUUUCUAGGGUUUUAGUUCUAAGAUGAGGAAAUGGAGCCUCCGAGGGGUUAGAUGACGGCCAAGGUCAUGACUGUCCUUGGCAAGGCGUAGGAUGUCCCCACCCUGACCGCAAUGCCCUUUCCUCAUUGAACCUCCUCCCUCAACGACUCGCGGCGUGAGUGAUGGCUGGCUGGCUGCUCACGGAUGCUUACAGCUCACGGAUGCUUGCAGUGGGGAUCUCUGACCUCUGCUCCAACAACUGAUGGGGCAGAGUCCUUCAAACUGGGGCUUAAGAAAGAAAGAUGCUAACUGGGGUGACAGAAGUGACUUAAAAUGCAUUCUGAGAUACUUCACCUGGAGACACGCCGCUGACAGGUAAAUAAAAUGAAUAUGGAGCCACCUCUUCCCUGCCCGUGAAUAACACAUAGCUUUCGGGCAGGGAGGCACAUUCAAGGAGAUUGCCUUUCCCCGCCAGGCUUCAGAAGUUUAGUACAUGAAUAAUUGAGCAACUUCCUGGCACAUUCAAUAUUUAUUUGUAAGCCUGCUCCAGGCAGAAAAAGAGAAAAAAUGUUUUGAAAACAAGUUUUGCAUAAGCAAGGAGUUUGUUUGCUUGCCAGAAGAUUACCUAAUUACAUUUGCAAAAUAACAUAUUGGUACUGUUAUUUUCUUGUGGACAUGUUGAUGUGAAAUACAUUAGACAAAUUACAAGGGAGAUGGGUAGGAAUCUGGAUUGUGUGGGCCCGUGUGCACCGCGGGAAACCAAAAUAGAACGUGCAAGAAUCUGUUUGCACAUCAAUUACAAUCCUUACUAUCGUCUCACAAUCCUACGGUGUUAAGACUUGCCUUUCCACUGGUCUUUUCACUCCAGUGAGGCCCGUGGCCAGUCCAGGAGGGGCACGGAGCUUCACCAGCCGUGGAUGCUCAAAAACUGUUGCAUCCAUGUUUUGUUGGUUUGCAGUCUAGCCUCUUCCAUACAUUGAGGGGAGGAGAGACCAAAGAAAGAAGCAGGCCCCUCUGGACUGGCAGGUGGCAGUUUUAUCAAGCAAGGGGACUGACUUCUGAGGCCCGUCUUGGGCAGUGGCUGAUCUCCACACUAGGUGGUCUCAACGCCACCUCUUUCUCUCACGACUGCACCCUUGGAAGGGCUCCCGCUGUAGGAACAAUGGGCAGAUCACACGCUGCAGGGACAGGGGAGGGAGGGACGAGGAGCCUCCGUCACCUGGGUCCACCUGGCAGGCCAGCUGGUGGUCACGUGUUUGCUUUCCCCGAACCUUUGCAAUGGUGUCUCUAUGAAAUCCAAGUUCUGGGCAUGGCCAUUGCAUCUGUCCUGGGUCUAGUGGGGGUAGGAGGUCCCAUCUGGAAGAAGCCAGGGCUGCUUCACAUGCUCGUGAGGUCUCACGGGGAGGAUGUGCUGCUGGUAACCUGGACCAAACGAUGGGGUUCUGGGGAGGCGGCACCUGGGGGUCUGGGAAAUAACCCUGCAUCCGUCUUUUUUUUUUUCCCCUGUGAGAGGUUCUUGCCUCCUUGAAGGAAUUCAGAAACAAGACAGGGAGAUGGAGGAAGCAAAGUGAGGACUUAUUUCAGCGAGCAUGCGCUCUCGGAGGGAGGGUGGGCAGGCAGGGGCAGAGCCACCCUGGGUUUCUUUGGCAAGCCCGUUACGAGGGGCAGGCGCGUGAGCAGGGGCAAUACUCACUGGGAAGGAGGGGUUUGGGGGUCGUAUUCCCUGACUUUCAUCCCAGCUCCACCUUUCCGAGGGGAGGAGGAAUUUUUGCUCUUAUCCAGCUUUGAUCGGAAGUGCCACGGCCUCGGAGCAUGAUGGAAACCUCUCAUCUGCAAGGCUAAUUUUAUUGUAAUGAGAGCAUAAUGAGCAACAGGUUACAUUCAGACCCUGGAGAUUCCUGCCCUCUUCCUGCUUUUCUCUGAAUGCCUCUAGGACACUUAUCACCCACAAUGUGUGGUUUUUCUGUCCAUCUGGAGGUUCCUGGUUUUCUUCGUCUGCCCACGGACUCCACUGUUUACAAGACAAGUCGUUUCCUGCCAUCGGGCCUGCGUCCCCUUUCUUUGCUCGUAUUUAACUAUCCUGUGCUGUGACGUCAUGGCACAUAUUACACAGUUCUUGUAAAGGAUGUGUUUCCUUUAGAACCCUAGUACACGGUGGGUGGGAGUGUCAAUUGGUGCAACCACUGUGGAAAACAGUAUGGAGAUGCCUCAGAAAACUAAACAUAGAACUACCAUUGGAUCCAGCAAUCCCACUCCUGGGCAUCUAUCCAGAGAAAACCACGACUCACAAAGACACAUGUACUCCGAUGUUCACUGCAGCACUGUUUGCAACAGCCAAGACAUGGAAACAAAUGUCCAUCGACAGAGGAGUGGAUCCAGAAGAUGUGGUACAUACACACAAUGGAAUAUUCCUCAGCCAUUAAAAGGAACGAAAUGCCGGCAUUUGUAGCCACAUGGAUGAACCUAGAAAUUAUCCUGCUAAGUGAAGUCAGCCAUACAAGGAGACACCAACAUCAAAUGCUUUCACUGACAGGUGGAAUCUGAAACAAGGACAGACUGAAUUUCUCUGCAGAGCAGAUGCUGACUCUCAGACAUUGAAAAACUUAUGGUCUCUGGAGGAGACAGUUUGGGGGGUGGGGGGAUGUGCUUGGGUUGUGGGAUGGAAAUCCUGUGAAACUGGAUUGUGAUGAUCAUUAUACAACUACAGAGGUGAUAAAUUCAUUGAAUAAUUUAAAAAAAAAAAAAAA